rnacentral:lncRNA from 1 species
GGCUUGUCUGUUCUGGCCCCCUUGCCUGUCCUGUCUCUGCCCCCUUCCACUACUUCUGAGGUGGUCCUUUUUUACCUCCCGACAUGAUGACUUCACUCACCUUCGGGGGCUACCCAGGCAGGUGCAUACAUGCGACCAGGACAUUGGAAAGAGAACUUGACAUCAGCCAUGCUAAUUCGGGCAGUCAUGUCCUCAUCAAUCUGAGGAAGAGAAAACAGAUAGAAGGAGUGGUGACUCACGGGGCCGAGUGCGGGUGGUCCCCUUCCAGAAUGUGUCCUUGUAUGGAAUACGGUUGAGAUUCUGGCCCAUCUUCUCUGCCCGCUCUAGGGAAGAAAAACAACCUAAGCUGUGGUACAGAGGGAGAAGACAGAUGCUGACAAGGGCCCCAUUUGCCACCAGGUCCUGGAAUGAAAAGGCCAUUAUGAUGAGAGCCACUGCUACCUCGCUGGCAGUCACUGAACCAACCAUGAAUGCACAAAUGUAGAACUUAAUCCUGUAAGUGUCACACAGUAGUACUGACAGAAUGGGUUGAGGGUUCCAAAAUCUCCCACCAAGGCUCAGACUUUACUUCCUACCCAUCUCAGGAAUUAAGGGCUGAGUACUCACCUCUGCCACUUGAUCUUGGCCCCAAAAACAGGCAUAGUGCAGGGGCACAUUCCCGUGUUCAUUCACUGCAUUGAUGUCUGCCUUGUACUGCAAUAGCUGGACCCCAUGGCCAGACAAAAAGAAGAGGCAGAAAGUACAGUCAGUUCCAAAUGAGAUACUGGUGUCAGGGCAUGGGAAAAGGGGGAAGAGCACACAUGCUUUCUACUGUAUGUUACAGUGCCUGUGACUGACCCUCAUGGCAUGUAUGUGAUGUGGAUGACGAAGGAGUUUGUACGUACCUUCUGUACAAUAUCACGGUGUCCAUGACUGGCUGCCAGAUGCAGGGGGGUGUCAUCCCCACGGUUCAUUACAUUGAUCCGUGCCCCCCGCAUGAUCAACAUCUCAACCACAGCAGAGCGGCCCUCUCGGCAGGCCCAGUGCAAGGGGGAGAAGCCAUGAUCGUCCCUUUGAGGAAGGGGCAAUGGUCAUUGAGCUGGAGGUGGGAUGGGGCAAAGGUUUUGAUUCCUGAAAAACUGAUAAUUACAUACUCUCUGGGAAGGCUUACCUCUCUAGGACUUUGAUUCUCAUUCAUGCCAGCAACUCCCAAAGCUGUCCAUUUCAGACCUUCCCCUGAGCUUCAAACCAAACCAACCACCUAGAUAUCUCAACAACCUCUAUAAAAAAAUGUGUUAUCUUCACCAUAUCCCACAUCUCAUUUCCUUAGGUGGUAGUGCUCUUCCCCUGGUUUCUCUUGCACCCCUUCUGCAACAUCUAUUGGUCCUUUCUGUUUUCCACCACAUCUUAUAUGUCCCCCUACUUCAGCACUUGUUGCACUGGAUUGUAAAAAUCUGUUAAUGGACUGUCUUGUCUGUUAGACCUUUAAGUUUCUUGAGGGAAUGGAUUGACAGCAGCUGUUCAGUGCAUGUUAGUGGGGGAGAAGGGUGUCUUGGAGAAGGCAGGCCACAACUUAUAGAAGAGGGAACAAACUUACUAUUUGGCUCUGGUACUGAAACUAACAUCUAAAAAUGGAAUGGAAUUUAAAUGAUGUUUUGGAAGGGUUUAUGUUGAAAAGGAGAAAUGCUUUUGACUACUGAUGAGGUAGAUAACAAACCACCAUGCAAAGCAGGAUUCCCCUACUUAGCAAUCCUGUGCAUAGAAAACAGAAGAAAAUGAGAAUGGCUGUUUUGGGAUUAAAACUAUACCUGAUUUUUUUCUUUU